AAAAACCCAUUAUUCCUGCGAUAGAGCUGAAUCUCACUGGACGUCAAACUAGGAGGACACAGGAGUGAAUCAGAUCGCUGCUCUACUUGCAGGAUAAACACUGUACACUCAACACACUGAUAUUAAGAUGCUGUGGUUUGACAGAUGAAGAUUGUUCUGCUGUGACUUCAGCUCUGAAAUCAAACCCAUCACACCUGAAAGAACUGGACCUGAGCUGGAAUGAA